UGGGGAAUAUUGCACAAUGGGGGAAACCCUGAUGCAGCGACGCCGCGUGAGCGAAGAAGUAUUUCGGUAUGUAAAGCUCUAUCAGCAGGGAAGAAGAAAUGACGGUACCUGACUAAGAAGCCCCGGCUAACUACGUGCCAGCAGCCGCGGUAAUACGUAGGGGGCAAGCGUUAUCCGGAUUUACUGGGUGUAAAGGGAGCGCAGGCGGAUGGCUAAGUCUGAUGUGAAAGCCCGGGGCUCAACCCCGGGACUGCAUUGGAAACUGGUUAUCUUGAGUGUCGGAGAGGUAAGUGGAAUUCCUAGUGUAGCGGUGAAAUGCGUAGAUAUUAGGAGGAACACCAGUGGCGAAGGCGGCUUACUGGACGACAACUGACGCUGAGGCUCGAAAGCGUGGGGAGCAAACA
rnacentral:rRNA from 1 species